ACAUUGUCAGAAACCGCCUAAAAAACCGCCCAAAAACAUUAACCCAUCAUAAUUAUUUUCUAUUUUUUUUAAUACAUUAAGCACCCUUUCAUUCUAAUGGACACUUAAGCAUUGAAAAAUUAAAUAAAUAAGUCUUUUAACGUUUAUUCUAUAAUACUAUUACAACUUCCGGACGUUUUGGUGCGUGGCAUGGUCUAAAACCUAUCAAGUUCCAUAAUUUUUGCCGAUAAAAUCUGUACGAGGCAUUACCGUACUUUAUUGCUGGGAGUCCAUGUAUAGUGAUGUUCCUGCGGCCAUCAUAGACAAUAAAAUAUCGAUUUUGAAAAUAAAAUAAAUCGAUUAAACUGCUUUGAAGACUAGAUUUGCGUUAAAAGCUAAAAAGAUAUUGACAGUUUGACACUAUUACAAGAAGAUAUCUAAAGUGUCCAACUGGUCGAAGGUCGUAAAUAAAAUAAAAAUAAUUAGGACCAUAAACUGAUAUUCAUGGUAUCAUAACUGUAAAAGUGUCAGAAUCCGAUGUUGAAUCCAAUGCCAGUUGAAGUGUGAGAAACAUAUAUAUUUUUUUUUUAUGUGACAGGAGGCAAAUGAGCAGACGGAUCACCUGAUAUCAACCUAGUAUAGUUGCCAGUCUCUCAUAAUCUAUGCCAAUGAGGGUUUUCGCGAUUGAAAAAUCCGCCAGAUGGCAAUACGUAGACGUGAGGUCCAAAUGCUGCAUGAUUGGUUAUUUUUGACAUGACAUUGACAGAUAUCCACCAAUCAUGCAGCAUUUGGACCUCGCGUCUACGUAUUGCCAUCUCGCGGAUUUUUCAAUCGCGAAAACCCUCAUUCAUAGCACAUGUAUAAUAAUAGACCAAAUGAACUUUUAUAGAUUGUGAAAGAGAAGAUAAAGAUUUUAUUAUUUUAUUAAAAUCUUGCCACGAGGUAGUUUUUCAGUAGAAACCAGGAUUGGAUAAUCGCUACAGGCAAGUAUCAGAACAUUUUAUAAAUAUUUUUAAUCGAUUAUAUCCAUGUGAAUCGUUUUAAUAAAUUGUCAUUUUACUUUUUCAAUUAAAACUUUUUCAAUCCCUAGUCUUGUCAAACUGUCAUAAUGUCAACAAAUUAUAAAUGUCACGUCAGUUGACUCAAUUUCAGUCUUCUGUGCGUUUAUUGUAUUUUUAUUUCAAUGAAAUAGUGCUAAAGGGUUAGUACUAAAACUGAAAGCCUUUUUUCAGAAAGAAAACCAAUGUGGUGCCCUUAUUAUUCAUGCUGUUUGAAAGUUACAAGUCAGUGAUACAGAGUUGCCGACAUUAUAACUCCGUAGUGAUACCAUACCAAAGAAGAAGUUUUCCUAAACACUUGUGUUGUUUUUAUAUGUGAUCGAAUAAAAAGGAUUAAUUCUACUGCUCAAAUGGAAUAACUUAUCCCAAGAGACCGAAUAUAAAAAAACCUCUCCAUAGAAAUUAUCACCAUCACGAGGAUGUGAAUUUUUUUGAGAAUUUGAUAUUGGUCCUGUAAGAAAAGUAGUUGUAUUUCAGUAGUAGAAUCAACCCUUCUUGUUUCAUCAGCAAGAGUAACUAUAAAAACGCCCUGUAGGUAGGUAUUAUUAAGCUGAAGAGUUUGUUUAGUGUCAAAGACUGUCACACAGUGUAACUUAAAUUGGCAUAUUAUGAUAAUGAACAUAAAAACUUAAAUAAAUAUUUAUGUUAAUA